rnacentral:sRNA from 1 species
AUGAACUUUCUGCUGUCUUGGGUGCAUUGGAGCCUUGCCUUGCUGCUCUACCUCCACCAUGCCAAGUGGUCCCAGGCUGCACCCAUGGCAGAAGGAGGAGGGCAGAAUCAUCACGAAGUGGUGAAGUUCAUGGAUGUCUAUCAGCGCAGCUACUGCCAUCCAAUCGAGACCCUGGUGGACAUCUUCCAGGAGUACCCUGAUGAGAUCGAGUACAUCUUCAAGCCAUCCUGUGUGCCCCUGAUGCGAUGCGGGGGCUGCUGCAAUGACGAGGGCCUGGAGUGUGUGCCCACUGAGGAGUCCAACAUCACCAUGCAGGUGGGCAUCUUUGGGAAGUGGGGCAAGGGGGGGAUAGGGAGGGGGGUAACACUUUGGGAACAGGUGGUCCCAGGUCGUUUCCUGGCUAGAUUUGCCUUGUCUGGCUCCUGCCCCUGAGUUGCACAGGGGAGGUAUGGUGGGGUCUUGCCUUCUGUAGAGA